UCAUAAUCACAAAAACGAUAGAAACUUUGAAUGAAAAGGAUUUAGGAGGUUGUAUGCAUCAAAAGUAAAUGGUUGACUCUCAACCCAUUUGGCCUGUGCAGUCCUGUUCCUUUCUCUUUCAGGUAAUCUGUUUUGAACAGAUAAUGGCAAGAAUUAUUGCGAAGCAAUAAUAAAAUAAUAGCUUAUACACAUUCAAACAUUUGUCAAACAUGUUUGUUUUGUGCUCAAUACCUUGUUAUGCCUUGCAGGAGAUGUCAACAAUGAGUUGAGCACCAGUAGAUCAAUUGUAAAGUGCAUUGAAGGCCAUAAACGUGAAUUUCAACUGAGCAUGAAGAAGCGGAUUACCAAGUUGUAGAAGGUGAAAUCAGAUGAGUAGAAGACUAAUGCUACUCCAAAAAGCAAGCUUGCUUCUAACAAGCAGGUUCCACCCACGGAAGUCUGAUGCAGCCACCUGCCGGCUGCUUGAAAUCAGAGCACCGGUAGAGCAACUGUAAAAUGCGUUGCAGACCGUAGACUUGAAUUUCAACUGAGCAUGAAGAUGGAAAAGAUGACAUCAGAUAAGAAGAAGACUAGUGCUACUUCCAAAAUCAAGCCUGAAGCAGUCAAACCCAAGGAGGUCUGAUGCAGCCACCUGCAGGUCACUUGAAAUCAGCACAGUCUCAAAUUCUUUUACAGCCUUCCGUUUGAGAAAUGAAGCUUCACUACUCACAGCCACCAGAUACCCAUCAUCACAUAGGAAAUGAAUACACGAAAACUAAACAAAAGUAGGAACCAAUUCUUGAGAAUAGAGAAGGAAAGCAGGUGCUGAUUGGCAUCUAAAUGGUUUCUAUAACCCAAUUUUCUGCAAGAUGGACAUGCCACAAAUGAUGACUACCGAAUAGAUGCAUGAAUCCAUGAAUAACGCACUUGCUGCGGUUUUGAACAACAUGCCCCACUCAAAAGGCGUACCUAGAUUAUCCAGAAAAUCAAUCUCAAUUGGCGAAGAACCGGUUUUUGUAUCCUGCUGGAUCAUUAUCAUAGCAUCCAAAAGCAGAGGUCCAACAGUGAUUGUGAUAUUAAUUAGCAAAAGUAGAAUAAGUGGCCUGGAUAGUAUGAUGCUUCUUAUAAUGUAGUUUCCUAGGAUAGGGAAUCCUACAUGUGACAGUAGAGCUACAAUUCCAACAAAAAACGCACACUUGCGGCGUUUAUCUUGGGUAGCUAAAAUGGCUGGACGCAACUGUCCAGGGCUCAAUGUUUUGUAUAGAUAGAUUUGCAUAUCUGAUUUUGGAACCUUUUGGGAAGUAGUUUGAUGAUUUGAUUUGUUGGGA